CGGACGGGUGAGUAACGCGUGGGGAACCUGCCCUGUACAGGGGGAUAACACUUAGAAAUAGGUGCUAAUACCGCAUAAGCGCACAGUAUCGCAUGAUACAGUGUGAAAAACUCCGGUGGUACAGGAUGGACCCGCGUCUGAUUAGCUGGUUGGCGGGGUAACGGCCCACCAAGGCGACGAUCAGUAGCCGGCCUGAGAGGGUGAACGGCCACAUUGGGACUGAGACACGGCCCAAACUCCUACGGGAGGCAGCAG
rnacentral:rRNA from 1 species